GUAACAAGGUCUCCGUUGGUGAACCAGCGGAGGGAUCAUUACCGAGUUUACAACUCCCAAACCCCUGUGAACAUACCAAUUGUUGCCUCGGCGGAUCAGCCCGCUCCCGGUAAAACGGGACGGCCCGCCAGAGGACCCCUAAACUCUGUUUCUAUAUGUAACUUCUGAGUAAAACCAUAAAUAAAUCAAAACUUUCAACAACGGAUCUCUUGGUUCUGGCAUCGAUGAAGAACGCAGCAAAAUGCGAUAAGUAAUGUGAAUUGCAGAAUUCAGUGAAUCAUCGAAUCUUUGAACGCACAUUGCGCCCGCCAGUAUUCUGGCGGGCAUGCCUGUUCGAGCGUCAUUUCAACCCUCAAGCCCUCGGGUUUGGUGUUGGGGAUCGGCGAGCCCUUGCGGCAAGCCGGCCCCGAAAUCUAGUGGCGGUCUCGCUGCAGCUUCCAUUGCGUAGUAGUAAAACCCUCGCAACUGGUACGCGGCGCGGCCAAGCCGUUAAACCCCCAACUUCUGAAUGUUGACCUCGGAUCAGGUAGGAAUACCCGCUGAACUUAAGCAUAUCAAUAAGCGGAGG
rnacentral:rRNA from 1 species